rnacentral:lncRNA from 1 species
UUUUGGUUUUUUUUUUUUUUUUUUUUUUUUUGAGAACGGGCCCCUGUGGAUAAGGAGUUUGAAAGCUAACAGCACUAGUGAGACCAGAGGCCAUCUUCGAGCUGGUGGAGCCCAGGAGGACACAGCCCCUUUCUGACCCAAUUCCCUCACAGCCAAAGCCAGAGAGAACGGGAGUGUAACCAAGAGUUACACUUCAAACCCCCCGUCUUUGGACCACUGUCGGGAGUGAGCUGAGCCACUCUCUGUGAAAUUGCGAGAUAGGGACACAAUGCUUCCCGGGGAUGGAGAGCCUUUGUUCCUCGCCUGCCCUUCUUGGAAUGUUCAAGUUCUCCUCCCUCAGUUGUGAUGUGCCCAGUGGAGAAACUCUCUGUCAAGAGGGAAGAGGCUUUGUCCCCUUCCCCGAUGUGAGGGUUCGCUCCCUGCCCCCACAUGAACUCCAGAGAGGAGCCCUCCUUGUUCCUUGUCCCAGCCUCACCUCUCUCAGCAUCAGGGAGAGUGAGCGAGCGCUGCUGUCUGCCAAGGAAAUGAGCUUCUGAGCUCUGAACCCUAAACUUCGGGAGAAGACACGGCUCUGUGAUACCAAAGACUUUCGCUGGCCCUGAGAGUCACCUCUGUGGGUGAGGUCAAACUACAGAAACGCCUGAACUCCUUAGAGGGACCAGAGAGUCCCAAAGGGCAUCUGCUAGCUUGCUGAGGCUGGGUGCUCUGUUCACAGUUAUAAAUGGUGAAGCAGACCUAGCUCUACCCUGUGUCUGGACCCAGAACGGUCCAGCGGUAGGAGCUCUGCACUCAGUGGGCAGUCCAAUGCAGUGUGGGAAGAGAAAAAAGCUACCAAAAAGAAUCCAGCUGUGAGGGAGUUUGGACUACACUACAAAGACGGGAGGAUGCCUGGAAAAGCAGAGUCUUCAGACAGACAGCAUCUUGGAUAUGCCCACCCAAGACAGCCCCUAGCGGAGGGCAGCUAACUGACUAACUAGAGCUACCCCACCCACAGCAGACAAUGAUUUGGAAAAAUGCUAGAUAUCGUUUGGGACUGCUACGCUUUAAGUGAUUUGUUAUGCAGUCAAGAAAAAAAAAAAAACUCUCCAUUUCCUCAACCAUCUCUUUUUUUUUUUUUUUUCACUACAAAAGACUUCGCUGCGGCCGACUAGUGUCAGCGUCCACUGGAUCAUAGCAUGCUCACACCUUCAUGACUAAUGGACAACUUCUGACCUAAGGCAAAGGGCAGUAGUGUGGCUUCAUUCAUUUAGCGCGAGUGCCUUCCUGUGCCAGGAAUAUGCUGGAGCCAGGGAUCUUGUCAUUUAAAAACACAGUCAA